rnacentral:rRNA from 1 species
CGUGGCUCAGAAUCAACGCUGGCGGCGUGCCUCAGACAUGCAAGUCGAACGCGAAAUUUCCCUUCGGGGAGAAAGUAGAGUGGCGCACGGGUGAGUAACACGUAGGUAAUUUGCCUUUGGGUGGGGAAUAACUCAGGGAAACUUGAGCUAAUACCGCAUAAUGCAGCGGCUCGACAUCGAGACAGUUGUUAAAGCGGGGGAUCGCAAGACCUCGCGCCUGAAGAGAAGCCUGCGGCAGAUUAGCUAGUUGGUAAGGUAAUGGCUUACCAAGGCGACGAUCUGUAACCGGCCUGAGAGGGCGGUCGGUCACACUGACACUGACAUACGGGUCAGACUCCUACGGGAGGCAGCAGUCGGGAAUUUUGGGCAAUGGGCGAAAGCCUGACCCAGCAACGCCGCGUGAAGGAUGAAAUCCCUCGGGAUGUAAACUUCGCAAGAACGGGAAGAAUAAGUGAAAGUUAAUAUCUUUCAUGAUG